rnacentral:rRNA from 1 species
CACAUGACUCUCGGCAACGGAUAUCUCGGCUCUCGCAUCGAUGAAGAACGUAGCAAAAUGCGAUACCUGGUGUGAAUUGCAGAAUCCCGUGAACCAUCGAGUUUUUGAACGCAAGUUGCGCCCGAGUCCUUUUGGCCGAGGGCACGUCUGCCUGGGCGUCACGC